rnacentral:rRNA from 1 species
GGGGUAAAAUUAAUAAUUUAUAAUUAUAAUAAAAAAAUUUUUAAAUAAAAAUAUUUAAUGGGGGUUAAAGUAUUUUUAUAGAAAAAAUUAAAUAAUUUAAAGUAAAUUAGUAUUGUGAAAGAAUUUUGAAAUAAUUGAAAUAAAAAAUUAUAAUAAAGUAAUUUUAAUUUAAUGUAUCUUGUGUAUCAGAGUUUAUUAAAAAAUAUUUAUAAAUAAUAAAAUUCUCGAAUUUAAAAGAGAUAAUUAAUUAUGAAAGUUAUUGUAGCAUAAAUAUUUUAAAUAAUUAAUUUGAAAUGAAAUGUUAAUCGUUUUUAAAUAUAUCUAGUUUUUUAGAAAAAAAUUUAAUUUUAUAUAAUUUUAUAAAUCAAUAAUUAAUUAAUUGAUUUAUAAAAUUAAUAUUAUAUUUUAAGGGAUAAGCUUUAAUUUAAAUUUAUAUAAAAUAUUUUUAAUUUAAUUUGAAAUUUUUAUAAUUUAUAUUGUUAAAAAAUUUUAAUUUAUUAUAAAUAAUUUCAUUUAAAAUAAAAUUUAAUAAUAAUUUAUUUAUUUAUAAAAAAAAAUUAUUUAAUUAAAAAAUAAUUGUUAUAAUGAUAAAAUUAGUAUAUGAAAUUAUUUUUUAAAUAUUAAUUUUUUUUAAAAAUUAAUUAUAAGGAAUUCGGCAAAAAUUUAUAUUCACUUGUUUAUCAAAAACAUGUCUUUUUGAAAAUAAUAUAAAGUCUAAUCUGCCCACUGAUUUUAUAUUGAAGGGCUGCAGUAUUUUGACUGUACAAAGGUAGCAUAAUCAUUAGUCAUUUAAUUGAUGACUUGUAUGAAAGAUUGGAUGAAAUAUAAACUGUCUCUUAAUUAAAUUAUAGAAUUUAAUUUUUUAAUUAAAAAGUUAAAAUAAAUUAAAAAGACGAGAAGACCCUAUAGAGUUUUAUAAAUAAAUUAAUUAAGAUUAUUAAUAAAUUUUAAAAAUUAAAAUUAAUUUAUUUAUUUUGUUGGGGUGACAAAAAAAUAAAUUUAACUUUUUUUAUAUAGAACCAUAUAUAAGUGAUUAAAUGAUCCAUUAAUAAUGAUUAAAAGAAAAAAUUACCUUAGGGAUAACAGCGUAAUUUUUUUUUUUAGUUCGUAUAAGAAAAAGAGUUUGCGACCUCGAUGUUGGAUUAAGAUAAAAUUUAAAUGCAGAAGUUUAAAAUUUUUGAUCUGUUCGAUCAUUAAAAUCUUACAUGAUCUGAGUUCAAACCGGUGUAAGCCAGGUUGGUUUCUAUCUUUUAAAAAUUAAAAUAUUUUAGUACGAAAGGAUUAAAUAUUUAAAUUAAAUUUAUUUAAAUGAAUUUUAAUAAAUUUUAUAUUUAAAAAAUAAAAUAUAUAUUUAAUAUAUAUAUAUAUAUAUAUAAAU